rnacentral:rRNA from 1 species
CGCGGCCUAUCAGCUUGUUGGUGAGGUAACGGCUCACCAAGGCUCCGACGGGUAGCUGGUCUGAGAGGACGAUCAGCCACACUGGGACUGAGACACGGCCCAGACUCCUACGGGAGGCAGCAGCAGGGAAUAUUGCACAAUGGGCGCAAGCCUGAUGCAGCGACGCCGCGUGGGGGAUGAAGGCCUUCGGGUUGUAAACCCCUUUCAGCAGGGACGAAGCGAAAGUGACGGUACCUGCAGAAGAAGCACCGGCCAACUACGUGCCAGCAGCCGCGGUAAUACGUAGGGUGCAAGCGUUGUCCGGAAUUAUUGGGCGUGAAGAGCUCGUAGGCGGUCUGUCGCGUCGGAUGUGAAAACUCGGGGCUCAACCCCGAGCCUGCAUCCGAUACGGGCAGACUUGAGUUCGGCAGGGGAGACUGGAAUUCCUGGUGUAGCGGUGAAAUGCGCAGAUAUCAGGAGGAACACCGGUGGCGAAGGCGGGUCUCUGGGCCGAUACUGACGCUGAGGAGCGAAAGCGUGGGGAGCGAACAGGAUUAGAUACCCUGGUAGUCCACGCCGUAAACGGUGGGUGCUAGGUGUGGGGAACUUUCCACGUUCUCCGUGCCGCAGCUAACGCAUUAAGCACCCCGCCUGGGGAGUACGG